rnacentral:rRNA from 1 species
UGGCGGACGGGUGAGUAACGCGUAAGAACUUGCCCUUUAGACUGGGAUAACAGAGGGAAACUUCUGAUAAUACUGGAUAAGUUAGUAUAUCGCAUGAUAUGCAAAUGAAAGCUACGGCACUAAAGGAGAGCUUUGCGUCCUAUUAGCUAGUUGGUAAGGUAAGAGCUUACCAAGGCGAUGAUAGGUAGCCGGCCUGAGAGGGUGGACGGCCACAAGGGGACUGAGAUACGGCCCUUACUCCUACGGGAGGCAGCAGA